rnacentral:lncRNA from 1 species
UUGUCUUUGAUGAAAAAAGAAGUUUGAUGGUUUAUUUACAACCUUGGUCUCCUGCAACCGAGGUCAAUUUAGUUUUUUGAAACAAGUACAAAAAAAUGACAACUAGCUCCUGAUCAGAUUUAGUAAAUUUGUACCUGUUAUGAAGAGGUUUUUUGAAAACAUGAUUAAUAGGAACCAAAGCAGACGAGUCUUAAACAGUGGAAAUAUGUGAAUUGCUAAGUUUUUUGGCUGCAACACACAUUUGCUUCAACUCUUCAAUCGAAUAGGACUGUGCUCUCAAGUACACUUGCUGGUUUUUAGGGACAUUUCUGAUGAGUGCCUCCCUUAGUAAAUGAUGACGCAAAUCAUCAAUGUGUUCCUCAUCAAGGAGACGCUCAACUUCAUCUAUAAUUUCCCCUGGGGGAAAUCCCGAUGAAUCUCACAGCAUAUCAAAAAAAAAAAAAAAAUCUAUCUGAAGGAAUAGACCUAAAAACUUCACCAGGUAAUGAUGAAGCCAUUAAACAAUAUUUGGUCUUAUCUUCAUUGAUCUUCCUCGUCAAAAAAUCCAGCUCAAUUCUUCGAAACCAAUUUUCCGGAUCUAUCGCCUAGUAUUUUGGAAGACGUAGUUCUGCUACAGCAAGAGUUAAGUUGCUGACCUCUUCUGCUACGUACUUUUUUUCGAUCGGAAUGACAUUGUCCGCAUGGUCUUGACCAUCAGAAUUAUAAUUUUUAGGAGGUAUGAUAUCACUUCGGGGUCACCAAUGUUAUGAUUUAAAUAUCUUUAUUCUAACUGAGUAAAAAUGAUCAUUCAUUUGUACGAAACUAAAUAGGAAAGAACUAGAAAAUGAAUACAAAGUACUAUGAUGAAUAAUUUAUAUCAUCUAAACAAGUCAAACUCCAACAUUUAUUUCAAACUCUUCUUAAGUACAUAACUAUUUAUUUGCUAAUUUUAAUCUUCAGGCAUUUCUUGAGUCAAUUUUUUAUUAAAUAUAAAAAAAUUAAAAUGUACUCGCAACAACCAACCCUCAGUUAUUAAACAGUACAUCAUUCAUAAGGAUUUGAACUCAAAUAGAGUUUUUUCACACAUAAAAGGUACUUAAUACAUUAUUUUGUGUAAUGAUAGAAAAAUUGAAAUGAUAUUAAAAGAAAAUCUGUCAAAAAAUAUCUAUUAAACCCAGCACAAUCUCAAUUCUUUUCUUUUGAGUACCAAUCUUGAGCCUUUAAUUUUGAAACAUAUUUAAGUCUUUAAAAUACUAACCCAAAUCAAAGUUUCAACCUUUUUAUGAAAUACUACUUAAUCAUCAAAAAUCUUCCAAAUGCAUGGAUAAUCAUAAUUUAUCUCUGUUGAUAUGACUUUAUUUAUCAUAUAAAUUAUAAUUUUUCAUAUGUCUUUGCCACUUUUGAAAUAUAUUUUGGGAAGAUGGAGUUCUUCCCAGAAACAGAACAGAAAUUCUUCUAUUCUAGCUAAACAUAACUAAACUUCCUUUUUGUAUAUUCUACUUUACAUAAAAUAUUAAUAAAUUAAUAGGUAUUUUCUAUAUGAAAAAAUAAUUGGAGUUAAGCUAGAUGAGUUAAAAGAUAUUGAAAAGUACCUAGCUAUAUCAUUUUUAUUCCAACAUAUUCGUCAAAGUUAUUAAAUAUAUUAAGAAAUUCAAACACAUACAUUUUUAUUUUCAUAACAGGUGAACGGAUAUUUGACUUUAUUCUAUUAAUCAUGCAUUA